GAUGAACGCUAGCGGCAGGCCUAAUACAUGCAAGUCGAGGGGCAGCGCGGUAGCAAUACUGGCGGCGACCGGCGCACGGGUGCGUAACACGUAUGCAACCUACCUUCAACUGGAGGAUAGCCCGGGGAAACUCGGAUUAAUACUCCAUAACACAGGGAUCCCGCAUGGGAAUAUUGUUAAAGCUACGGCGGUUGAAGAUGGGCAUGCGUUCGAUUAGCUAGUUGGUGUAGGUAACGGCUCACCAAGGCUACGAUCGAUAGGGGGUCUGAGAGGAUGAUCCCCCACACUGGUACUGAGAUACGGACCAGACUCCUACGGGAGCAGCAGUAGGGAAUAUUGGCAAUGGGCGCAAGCCUGACCAGCCAUGCCGCGUGCAGGAGAAGGCCCUCUGGGUUGUAAACUGCUUUUGAUAGGGAACAAAUGCCACUUGCGAGUGGAGCUGAGUGUACCUAUAGAAUAAGCACCGGCU
rnacentral:rRNA from 1 species